rnacentral:rRNA from 1 species
UACGGGGGGGGCAAGCGUUGUUCGGAAUUACUGGGCGUAAAGGGCUCGUAGGUGGCCAACUAAGUCGGACGUGAAAUCCCUCGGCUUAACCGGGGAACUGCGUCUGAUACUGGAUGGCUUGAGUUCGGGAGAGGGAUGCGGAAUUCCAGGUGUAGCGGUGAAAUGCGUAGAUAUCUGGAGGAACACCGGUGGCGAAGGCGGCAUCCCUGGACCGACACUGACGCUGAGGAGCGAAAGCCAGGGAGCAAACGGG